AACGCACCUUGCGCCUUUUGGUAUUCUGAAAGGCACGCCUGUUUGAGUGUCAUGAAACCUCAACCCCCUCGGGUUUUGCGACCCGGUGUGUGGGCUUGGACUUGGGUGUCUGCCGGAGACGGCUCGCCUCAAAUGACUCAGUGGGAUUAGCAUCCAUGGCUUGACGUAAUAAGUUUUGUCUGGUGAGGUGCGAGGCCUGCUCACAACCCUUCGCUUUGGCGUUGUAGAACCUUUUCACUCUGGCCUCAAAUCAGGCGGGGCUACCCGCCGAACUUAA
rnacentral:misc_RNA from 1 species